rnacentral:misc_RNA from 1 species
AAGAGCUUCUCCACCAUAGCGGCAGCAGCUUCAACGGACUCCUGGUUCUCAGCUUCCACCAACACAUGUAAAUCUUCAUUGUCAGCAGGGUCGGGUUUCAAAUUCCCCUUUUGCUGGAACCUGCCCUCCUUGAUUGACCCUUUGCCUCGAAUUACAAUCUUUGCUCCUGUCUCCUUUUCCAUCCUCUUCUGAGUAUUCCCUCUUGGACCAAUAAUCAGCCCAAUAAAAUUAUAGUCAGGGAACUCCUUCAUGGGAAUGUAGAGCUUCUUUUGAAGCUUAGGAGGCCUAUAAUCAGCAGGAGGUUUAAAAGCAGGGUUCUUCUUAAUGAUUUGUGAUAUAAUCUCUUGUCUCUCCCUAUUCAACUUUUCUCGUGCACGAAACUCCCUGGUGU